rnacentral:rRNA from 1 species
GAGCGGUAGAGAGAAGCUUGCUUCUCUUGAGAGCGGCGGACGGGUGAGUAAUGCCUAGGAAUCUGCCUGGUAGUGGGGGAUAACGCUCGGAAACGGACGCUAAUACCGCAUACGUCCUACGGGAGAAAGCAGGGGACCUUCGGGCCUUGCGCUAUCAGAUGAGCCUAGGUCGGAUUAGCUAGUUGGUGAGGUAAUGGCUCACCAAGGCGACGAUCCGUAACUGGUCUGAGAGGAUGAUCAGUCACACUGGAACUGAGACACGGUCCAGACUCCUACGGGAGGCAGCAGUGGGGAAUAUUGGACAAUGGGCGAAAGCCUGAUCCAGCCAUGCCGCGUGUGUGAAGAAGGUCUUCGGAUUGUAAAGCACUUUAAGUUGGGAGGAAGGGCAGUAACCUAAUACGUUAUUGUUUUGACGUUACCGACAGAAUAAGCACCGGCUAACUCUGUGCCAGCAGCCGCGGUAAUACAGAGGGUGCAAGCGUUAAUCGGAAUUACUGGGCGUAAAGCGCGCGUAGGUGGUUUGUUAAGUUGAAUGUGAAAUCCCCGGGCUCAACCUGGGAACUGCAUCCAAAACUGGCAAGCUAGAGUAGGGCAGAGGGUGGUGGAAUUUCCUGUGUAGCGGUGAAAUGCGUAGAUAUAGGAAGGAACACCAGUGGCGAAGGCGACCACCUGGGCUCAUACUGACACUGAGGUGCGAAAGCGUGGGGAGCAAACAGGAUUAGAUACCCUGGUAGUCCACGCCGUAAACGAUGUCAACUAGCCGUUGGAAUCCUUGAGAUUUUAGUGGCGCAGCUAACGCAUUAAGUUGACCGCCUGGGGAGUACGGCCGCAAGGUUAAAACUCAAAUGAAUUGA